GCUAGUAAUCGCGAAUCAGAAUGUCGCGGUGAAUACGUUCCCGGGUCUUGUACACACCGCCCGUCACACCAUGGGAGUCGGGAAUGCCCGAAGUCAGUGACCCAACCUUUGGAGGGAGCUGCCGAAGGCAGGUCUGAUAACUGGGGUGAAGUCGUAACAAGGUAGC
rnacentral:rRNA from 1 species